UCCCUGGUGGCUCAGACAGUAAAGCGUCUGCCUAUAAUGUGGGAGACCCAGGUUCAAUCCCUGGGUCGGGAA
rfam:TPA: Bos taurus chromosome 7, whole genome shotgun sequence.